rnacentral:rRNA from 1 species
UAGCAAUACGAUGGAAAGUCUAGUGGCGAACGGGUGCUUAACACGUGGGCAAUCUGUCUUAAAGUGGGGGAUAGCUCGGCGAAAGCCGAAUUAAUACCGCAUGUGAUUAGAAUGGACAUCCAUUCAAAAUUAAAGUCGGGGCAACCUGACGCUUUUUGAGGAGCCCGCGGCCUAUCAGCUUGUUGGUGAGGUAACGGCUCACCAAGGCAUUGACGGGUAGCUGGUCUGAGAGGACGACCAGCCACACUGGGACUGAGACACGGCCCAGACACCUACGGGUGGCAGCAGUCGAGAAUUUUUCUCAAUGGGGGAAACCCUGAAGGAGCGACGCCGCGUGGAGGAUGAAGGUCUUCGGAUUGUAAACUCCUGUCAUUGGGGAACAAGUCGCUUACGUUAACUGCGUGAGCGUUGAUAGUACCCGAAGAGGAAGAGACGGCUAACUCUGUGCCAGCAGCCGCGGUAAUACAGAGGUCUCAAGCGUUGUUCGGAUUCAUUGGGCGUAAAGGGUGCGUAGGCGGCGCGGCAAGUCGGGUGUGAAAUCUCGGAGCUUAACUCCGAAACUGCAUUCGAUACUGCCGUGCUUGAGGACUGGAGAGGAGACUGGAAUUCACGGUGUAGCA